GAAUGAAAGUAUUGCAGUAAUGCCUUCCUGCCAUGUGGUGACAGAUUAAAAGCUGCUAUACACUUUGGAACUGGAAACUGAGCUCCCAAUAUAAAGGAGAUAAGCCAUCAUGCUUACAAUAUGUUGUGCAGAGCUCACUGGUGGGCAGUUUUUCUUAACAAUGCAUCAGGACUUUUGCUAUUUGUAAAGGAAGCUUAAAGGAAGCUGAGAGUGCUGAGGGCACAUCUGAAACCACUGGAGGUUGGCGACGUGGAGGUCAGGUAGUAGUGCUCUCCCACCAGGAGUCCCUCUGCACCCCUGGAGAGAGCAGUCAUUAUGCAGGACAACCCAUCUGCUCAGAACUUUCAGUGGCGACUUGUGGUGUGACUCUGUUCCCAUUCAUCUAUGUGCUGCUGUAGGCUUAGCUUCCCACAGCCUCCCCAGCUUUGCCAUUUGUCAUUAUCAUUUACUCUUAAUAUUUAUUCUAUCUAUGACCCUGAUGCACAGAGUGAUAGCUGAUAGUCUCUUAAAACAACGUUUACAAUUAUUUUGACAGUUUACCGUGUUUUGUUCUCUCAACAAUACUUAGAAUUUGUCUGAGUUAUAGUUGCAUAGACGGCAAUUUUCCUGACCUAGUUUUCUGACUAUGAUUUAUGGGUCAGUAAACUCCUUAAAUGAUGGAAUAUAACAUCUCAGGCCACAGGGAACACUUACUAUCACAUGCUCACUGUUGCAGGACGGAUGCGUGGCCAGCCUCAGGUUGCUAAAUGUUAGGGUGAUCUGCCUUCCUUCUGGGGCGGUGAUUCUCCACUUGUAGAUCCGGCCAUGAGGAUUUAGGUUCGGGUAGUUGGGAGAAGUAGAUGUUCCAGCAGAGCCCUGAAGAUCCCCACCACACUCUGAUGUGGGGGAAGAAAGCCAAGAAAACUUCCAAUCAAAUCAAAAUGUCUCCUUCCAUCAGGAAAGCUCUCAAAAUUCAGGGUUGAUGUAAACAGAAGUGAUACCACAAGUCCAAUCCAAUAAUGGGAAACAAGAUGACGACCAAAUGGCACAUUCUGUAAUGUCACAUUAAUUCUUUUGGGACACUAUGUAAGAGCUAUCAGUUGCAAGCAAGUUUCAUCUCAAGAACAAACUGGUAGACUCAUCUGACCUGCCUAGAACCUUGUGUUGAUUCUAAAGACUGAACCCAAGCUCACCUGGAAGGGGGGACACCUGCUAUAUCUAGUUUUACUAUCAACUAAACUUUCACUACUGUAACUGAUAUCUCAGGGCCUUGAAAAUUACUAUUCAAUUAUGUCUUAUUAGCUGGAUGUGGUAGCUAAUUGAAUUAUAUGCAGCUUGACCCGGGAUAUAAUAUGAUCUAUGGUGUAGUUAAAUACUGUUACAACUAGCCUUUCUGAACUUUUGCUAUAUUAAAUAUUUGUUUGGUUUGUGUCUAGACCUA
rnacentral:lncRNA from 1 species